GGCCACUUAGCUCAGCUGGUUAGAGCGCAUGCUUAACACGCAUGAGGUCGGCGGUUCGAUCCCGCCAGAGGUCA